rnacentral:rRNA from 1 species
UACGUAGGGACCGAGCGUUGUCCGGAAUCAUUGGGCGUAAAGAGCGUGUAGGCGGCUAUUUAAGUCCUGCGUGAAAUCCUGCGGCUCAACCGCAGACGGUCGUGGGAAACUGGAUGGCUAGAGUGCGGGAGAGGAGAGUGGAAUUCCCGGUGUAGCGGUGAAAUGCGCAGAUAUCGGGAAGAACACCCGUGGCGAAGGCGGCUCUCUGGAACGCAACUGACGCUGAGGCGCGAAAGCGUGGGGAGCGAACAGG